rnacentral:rRNA from 1 species
UGUGCUUGCACAGAAUGAUUAGUGGCGAACGGGUGAGUAACACGUGAGUAACCUGCCCCUGACUCUGGGAUAAGCCUGGGAAACUGGGUCUAAUACUGGAUAUGCACCGUAGACCGCAUGGUUUUUGGUGGAAAGAAUUUUGGUCAGGGAUGGACUCGCGGCCUAUCAGCUUGUUGGUGAGGUAAUGGCUCACCAAGGCGACGACGGGUAGCCGGCCUGAGAGGGUGACCGGCCACACUGGGACUGAGACACGGCCCAGACUCCUACGGGAGGCAGCAGUGGGGAAUAUUGCACAAUGGGCGAAAGCCUGAUGCAGCGACGCCGCGUGAGGGAUGACGGCCUUCGGGUUGUAAACCUCUUUCAGUAGGGAAGAAGCGAAAGUGACGGUACCUGCAGAAGAAGCGCCGGCUAACUACGUGCCAGCAGCCGCGGUAAUACGUAGGGCGCAAGCGUUAUCCGGAAUUAUUGGGCGUAAAGAGCUCGUAGGCGGUUUGUCGCGUCUGCCGUGAAAGUCCGAGGCUCAACUUCGGAUCUGCGGUGGGUACGGGCAGACUAGAGUGAUGUAGGGGAGACUGGAAUUCCUGGUGUAGCGGUGAAAUGCGCAGAUAUCAGGAGGAACACCGAUGGCGAAGGCAGGUCUCUGGGCAUCUACUGACGCUGAGGAGCGAAAGCAUGGGGAGCGAACAGGAUUAGAUACCCUGGUAGUCCAUGCCGUAAACGUUGGGCACUAGGUGUGGGGGACAUUCCACGUUUUCCGCGCCGUAGCUNACGCAUUAAGUGCCCCGCCUGGGGAGUACGGCCGCAAGGCUAAAACUCAAAG